ensembl:lncRNA
GGAAACAAUAAGAACAUCUUUUCAAAAUGGGAAUCAUAGAAAUGUAUUGAGGCUAUGGUGGCACCAGUUCUCUAACUGCCUUCAGCUCCACUGAUCUGUUUCCCCAUAGUAUCCCGGCUUCCAGGAGCUCUGCACUCCCCCAUCACACACCCCAGGGAUGAUGAAGACCCAUCUGCCUCAGCUCAUCUCCCAGACCCUUCAUACACAUUUCACUGUGACCAGUGCUGUCACAAGUGCACCACCAUUGCAAGUUCCAGUGUCAGCAAGGAGCAGGAUCAGAAACAGUACACCGGUGUCUGUCACAGACAGCAGCAGUGAGAAAAGUUAGCUGGCUUCCACCUGUGAGGACAUUGGAGCCUGGUGUGAAACAGACCUGCAUGAGGCGGAUCCAAGCAGAG